GAAUUGAAGAGUUUGAUCAUGGCUCAGAUUGAACGCUGGCGGCAGGCUUAACACAUGCAAGUCGAACGGUAGCAGGAAGAAAGCUUGCUUUCUUUGCUGACGAGUGGCGGACGGGUGAGUAAUGCUUGGGAAUCUGGCUUAUGGAGGGGGAUAACUGUGGGAAACUGCAGCUAAUACCGCGUAUUCUCUGAGGAGGAAAGGGUGGGACCUUAGGGCCACCUGCCAUAAGAUGAGCCCAAGUGGGAUUAGGUAGUUGGUGGGGUAAAGGCCUACCAAGCCUGCGAUCUCUAGCUGGUCUGAGAGGAUGACCAGCCACACUGGAACUGAGACACGGUCCAGACUCCUACGGGAGGCAGCAGUGGG
rnacentral:rRNA from 1 species